rnacentral:rRNA from 1 species
GAUCCUGGCUCAGAAUCAACGCUGGCGGCGUGCCUCAGACAUGCAAGUCGUACGAUUAAAGCUCUCUUCGGAGAGUGUAUAAAGUGGCGCACGGGUGAGUAACACGUAAGUAAUCUACCUCUGGGUGGGGAAUAACAGUCGGAAACGACUGCUAAUACCGCAUAAUGCAGCGGCUCGACAUCGAGACAGUUGUUAAAGCAUUUAUGCGCCUGGAGAGGAGCUUGCGGCAGAUUAGCUAGUUGGUAAGGUAAUGGCUUACCAAGGCUACGAUCUGUAGCCGACCUGAGAGGGUGGUCGGUCACACUGACACUGAAUAACGGGUCAGACUCCUACGGGAGGCAGCAGUCGGGAAUUUUGGGCAAUGGGCGAAAGCCUGACCCAGCAACGCCGCGUGAAGGAUGAAGUAUUUCGGUAUGUAAACUUCGUAAGAAUAGGAAGAAUAAAUGACGGUACUAUUUGUAAGGUCCGGCUAACUACGUGCCAGCAGCCGCGGUAAUACGUAGGGACCAAGCGUUGUUCGGAUUUACUGGGCGUAAAGGGAGCGUAGGCGGCAAUUCAAGUCAGUUGUGAAAUCUCCGAGCUUAACUCGGAACGGUCAACUGAUACUGCUUUGCUAGAGUACAGAAGGGGCAAUCGGAAUUCUUGGUGUAGCGGUGAAAUGCGUAGAUAUCAAGAGGAACACCUGAGGUG